UUGUGUCCUAUAUUAAUGAGUUUUGUAUCCAUGAUGAGAACAAAGAAAGCAGCAUGCAUAGUUAUAAUGAGGUAUCAUUUCAAUUCAUCGUUGAAAACUGCUUUGGCGAAUCUUUUCCUUCUGUUGAAAAGUGUGGGGUCCAACUACUCUACGAUGGUGAUACUGAUCAUGAAUCAAUUGAGGACACAAAUGACGAGUUUUCUUUUAAUAAGAUUGAUGAAUCCAGUCAAAUGACACAUUCUCUGUCGAGAAAGAAGAAGAACCCAAUGAAAGAUGUAGUAGGUCAGAUCAUGAGGAUGCGGCUGAUGAACUGGAACCCAAUGAACAGCUCAGCCUCACUAAGGAAGGGGAAGAACGAGUUGGCAUAAGCAAUAGGAUUGGCUCUCAUUUUUUUCGGAGAAGGCUGAGGCUUUGGCCUAUCAUGGGGAUUCCUAGUGAGCCUGGAGCAAGUUUCUUUGUUGAACUUCUUCCCUGGGUAAGGAGCUGAAGUUGUGCCUAUUGAGUAGAUAUUAUAAGAGGCCAUGGUGAUUGAGAUUUCAGCGGAGAAACAGUAUUUGCUGGUUUUCAAGUUGGAAUAUUAAAAUGUACCCGCAACCUCGUGACAACAGUAGAAAAAAACAGUGUGAGAAUUGAUGCACAUGUUCAGCAUUCUACAAUUCUCUACAAAUAAAUAUGGGUAGAAAGAUUUGUGGUAUCUUUCUGUCGUUUUAUGGGUUCAAUAUUCAAUGUCAAUUCCAUAAGAACAUCUGUUAAGAAUUUUGACUUUAC